rnacentral:rRNA from 1 species
UACAUGUGGGGCAAGCGUUGUUCGGAAUUACUGGGCAUAAAGGGUGCGUAGGUGGCUUGUUAAGUCAGGGGUGAAAGUUUUCGGCCCAACCGGAAAAUAGCCUUUGAUACUGGCGAGCUCGAGUGCGUGAGGGGUAACCGGAACGAGCAGUGUAGCGGUGAAAUGCGUAGAUAUUGCUCGGAAGGCCAACGGCGAAGGCAGGUUACUGGUGCGCAACUGACACUGAGGCACGAAAGCUAGGGGAGCAAACAGG